rnacentral:rRNA from 1 species
UACGUAGGGGGCAAGCGUUGUCCGGAAUCAUUGGGCGUAAAGCGCGUGUAGGCGGCCCGAUAAGUCCGCUGUGAAAGUCCAGGGCUCAACCCUGGGAUGCCGGUGGAUACUGUCGGGCUCGAGUCCGGAAGAGGCGAGUGGAAUUCCUGGUGUAGCGGUGAAAUGCGCAGAUAUCAGGAGGAACACCGAUUGCGAAGGCAGCUCGCUGGGACGUUACUGACGCUGAGACGCGAAAGCGUGGGGAGCAAACAGG